GAGCAAAGUCACCUGACUGAAGUGGCAUAUACUCUGGGUGAAGGUUGGAGAUAAUAGUUUGCAAUUCUCCGCGACUCUCAAUUUCCUUGUUUGAAGAUGGCCUCAACAAAUUGCUACAUU